CAAAGGGGAGAGACGUCAAGCAAGAGUAUCUUCCUUCUCUCUGGCUUGUCGAAGGAGCUCUUCUCUGACUCUCUUGAUCUCUGCUUCCUUCUCCAGUCUCUCCUUCUACCACAACGACAACACAAAUGCCAUUGAAGCUAUAAAUUUUGGACAAACAGGACAAAAACAACCAAAAUCUGAUAAUCAUUCAUAUCAAGCUAAAAAGCCAAAGCGAAAACGAACUGCCAGCGUAUUCAGAUUCAAAUUCCAUAACCACACAAGCUAACAUCAAAGGUUACCCAGUAGAUCUAAAUAAAUGGUAAAUAAAAAUUUUCAUAUUAUUAGGGUUUAUCUCAGAAAAGCUUAAAUUGAAGCAAAUCAAACUGAUUCAUAUGGGUAAAAAAAAAAAAAAA
rnacentral:misc_RNA from 1 species